UACGGGGGGGGCAAGCGUUGUUCGGAAUUACUGGGCGUAAAGGGCUCGUAGGCGGCCAACUAAGUCAGACGUGAAAUCCCUCGGCUCAACCGAGGAACUGCGUCUGAUACUGGAUGGCUUGAAUCCGGAAGAGGGAUGCGGAAUUCCAGGUGUAGCGGUGAAAUGCGUAGAUAUCUGGAGGAACACCGGUGGCGAAGGCGGCAUCCUGGGUCGGUAUUGACGCUGAGGAGCGAAAGCCAGGGGAGCAAAC
rnacentral:rRNA from 1 species